GUCCACGCCCUAAACGAUGCGAACUGGACGUUGGGAGCAAUUAGGCUCUCAGUGUCGAAGCUAACGCGUUAAGUUCGCCGCCUGGGGAGUACGGUCGCAAGACUGAAACUCAAAGGAAUUGACGGGGGCCCGCACAAGCGGUGGAGUAUGUGGUUUAAUUCGAUGCAACGCGAAGAACCUUACCUGGCCUUGACAUCCACGGAAGUCUGCAGAGAUGCUGAUGUGCCUUCGGGAACCGUGAGACAGGUGCUGCAUGGCUGUCGU
rnacentral:rRNA from 1 species